GGUUUUUCUCGGAGCACCAACACAGAUAAGGGGAUACUGCCAGCAAGUUUCUCCCACUCGCAGUCGCAGAGGUGGUUAUCCCCUUGAGGUUAAAGCUUUCUGUAACGGGAUUAUCGCAG